rnacentral:rRNA from 1 species
ACAUCCAGAGAAUUUAGCAGAGAUGCUUUAGUGCCUUCGGGAACUCUGAGACAGGUGCUGCAUGGCUGUCGUCAGCUCGUGUUGUGAAAUGUUGGGUUAAGUCCCGCAACGAGCGCAACCCUUAUCCUUUGUUGCCAGCACGUAAUGGUGGGAAACUCAAAGGAGACUGCCGGUGAUAAACCGGAGGAAGGUGGGGAUGACGUCAAGUCAUCAUGGCCCUUACGAGUAGGGCUACACACGUGCUACAAUGGCGCAUACAAAGAGACGCGACCUCGCGAGAGCAAGCGGACCUCAUAAAGUGCGUCGUAGUCCGGAUUGGAGUCUGCAACUCGACUCCAUGAAGUCGGAAUCGCUAGUAAUCGUAAAUCAGAAUGUUACGGUGAAUACGUUCCCGGGCCUUGUACACACCGCCCGUCACACCAUGGGAGUGGGUUGCAAAAGAAGUAGAUAGCUUAACCUUCGGGAGGGCGUUUACCACUUUGUGAUUCAUGACUGGGGUGAAGUCGUAACAAGGUAGGCGUAGUGCU